rnacentral:rRNA from 1 species
AGUGAACGCUGGCGGUAGGCCUAACACAUGCGAGUCGAACGGCAGCACAGUAAGGGCUUGCUCUUACGGGUGGCGAGUGGCGGACGGGUGAGGAAUACAUCGGAAUCUACUUUUUCGUGGGGGAUAACGUAGGGAAACUUACGCUAAUACCGCAUACGACCUACGGGUGAAAGCAGGGGAUCUUCGGACCUUGCGCGAUUGAAUGAGCCGAUGUCGGAUUAGCUAGUUGGCGGGGUAAAGGCCCACCAAGGCGACGAUCCGUAGCUGGUCUGAGAGGAUGAUCAGCCACACUGGAACUGAGACACGGUCCAGACUCCUACGGGAGGCAGCAGUGGGGAAUAUUGGACAAUGGGCGCAAGCCUGAUCCAGCCAUACCGCGUGGGUGAAGAAGGCCUUCGGGUUGUAAAGCCCUUUUGUUGGGAAAGAAAAGCAGCAGGUUAAUACCCCGCUGUUCUGACGGUACCCAAAGAAUAAGCACCGGCUAACUUCGU